ACCCUAAACCCAAUCAACACUGUAUCCACCAUAGCUCCGAGGCCUUCAACCAAAACUCUCCCUACAAUGGCUUCAAGGUGUAGCAGAAUUAUCAAUAAGGCUUCCAUUUCCUCUAUCAGAUCUGCAAUUAAGCUCAAUUCCCAAUCCGCUUCUUCUACGACGUCGUUUUCCAGUUUCUCUGCUUCAACCAGAUCUGCUUCGUCUCCUCUCCGCCGGUUAUCCUUUUCAAGAAUUCCGUCGGAGCUGGGAGGAGUGCAGUCAAUGUUGCCACUACACAAUGCAGUUGCUACGGCGAGGAUGACGUCAUGCCUGAGCUCAACAUCGAGGAGUUGCAGAGCUCUUUCACAGGGUACACUCUGCUGCACCUCUCCAGACCUCUAGCAUGUUCAUUUAUUACUACCACAAAAUAAAAAAGAAGCACAUGAGUUUCCAAAAGCAUGAAAGAAAUAUACUGGGAUUUGACAGGCCUUCCUAUUUUGCUUAAAUGAUACUGAAGGAACGUGAAAUUUUUUGCUCUUCAAGAGGAGAGCUGGGUUUAUCGGUACCAAGGUGACUUCGUUAGCAGAUUGUUAAAGAAAGCUGUCAACUCUUUGAGGGAAAUGCAAGAUUUUGUCCUAGGCAAGGCAGUUCUGUUUAAUGACUGCUCAAACUUUAUAAGGGUGGUAACAAUAUUUGAAUGUAUUGAACUGGGUUCUGUUUCCUUGAUUACUAGGAAAUUUACUAUGGAAUAAUCCUUAUUUCCUUCGUUUUUUGGGCCUAUUUGUCAUACUGAAAAUGGAUGAGGCUCAUUUAUAUAACAAAGAUGUCUUGUUUUAUCAUAA